CCCAGGUUCUCACAUCGAUGGGAUUGCGCCCGGAAGCCUGAAUCCAUUCUCCGAUGGAUUAUGUGCUGAUAAGAGAGAUGUAGCGGAGGAUGGGGUGUAUUUGCUGGACUCAAGCCGAUCUCACAGCCGCCGAGUAAGUGCAGGCUGCCGCGGAUUGGAGGAAUCUCAGUCAUCUAACCACAAGAUUUGAAAUUUCAGUUUGUCCUUAGUUCAGCAAGUUUCUGAGACUGAUAAUCUCCAAGAGAUCUUUCACAGAGUUCUAAUUCAAGGAGAGGUGGCACACCCCAUAUUUAAGAAGAUUUGGAAAUCAGCAGUGAUUCAGCGAUACCAAAUUUUACUGUUGGUUUCUGAUCCAAGAUAGGCUCAGCACAAGAAGUCUGCUUCUCAGGAAAUCAUUUCACCUCCCCUCCUACCAAUGUGUGCUAUGUAAUGAGCAAAUUGAGACCACAUUGCACCUCUUUUUGGACUGCUCAUUUGCUCUACAAUGCUGGCACCUGAUCACUCCUAAUAAGAAGAGGGACAGAUCUGUCAUUCAGGAAAUCAUGUUGGCUUUGAAUGAAUUACCAAAUGGAGUGGCCAUGAACAUUGUCAUUAUGAGUUGCUGGCAUAUUUGGAUGCAAGGGAACAACAAGAUCUUUAAGCAUAUUAAUCCAAUCACCACAUAAUGGAAGCUGCUACGCAAGAAAGAUUUACAGUUGCUACAUCAUAGAAUUAGGCACUAGCUCCUUCAAGUUUUUCAAGACUGCAUUGCCACACGUUUGUACUCCGAAAGAUCCUUGAGUUAGAUGGGCUUGCCAUCUCCUUUCUUUUUGAUCCCUUUUGUACAUACACUUUUAAUUGCUUUUAAUGAAAAUUACAAUCGAACAAUUGGUAUA